GGACUAGAACUCACCGUCUCCAGGUGAUUGGCUCAAAAUCAUCCAGGUGGCUUUUGUGCCUAACGCAAGACUAGAACUCACCGUCUCCUGAUGAUUGGCCCAAAUUCACCCAGCCGGCUUUCAUGCCU